GCCGGUCACUCUCCCCAAAUAUAGGCCUUACAAUAAAUAAAAAGAUACUCAAAAGAAGGGGAGGCAAGUCGUAACAUGGUAAGUGUACCGGAAGGUGCACU
rnacentral:rRNA from 1 species